UACGUAGGGGGCGAGCGUUGUCCGGAAUUAUUGGGCGUAAAGAGCGUGUAGGCGGCUCGGUAAGUCUGCUGUGAAAGUCCAGGGCUCAACCCUGGGAUGCCGGUGGAUACUGUCGAGCUCGAGUCCGGAAGAGGCGAGUGGAAUUCCUGGUGUAGCGGUGAAAUGCGCAGAUAUCAGGAGGAACACCAAUGGCGAAGGCAGCUCGCUGGGACGUGACUGACGCUGAGACGCGAAAGCGUGGGGAGCAAACAGG
rnacentral:rRNA from 1 species